rnacentral:rRNA from 1 species
UACGGAGGGUGCAAGCGUUAAUCGGAAUUACUGGGCGUAAAGCGUGCGCAGGCGGUUUGUUAAGUCCGUUGUGAAAGCCCCGAGCUCAACUUGGGAAUUGCAGUGGAUACUGGCAGGCUGGAGUACGGUAGAGGAAGGUGGAAUUCCCGGUGUAGCAGUGAAAUGCGUAGAUAUCAGGAGGAAUACCGAUGGCGAAGGCAGGUCUCUGGGCUGACACUGACGCUCAUGCACGAAAGCGUGGGGAGCAAACAGG